rnacentral:lncRNA from 1 species
AGACAAACAGGAAUAGGUUCGUGAAGUGUAAAAAAAUUUGAAAAAAAAUUCAAGUUGUAUUCGCAAGUUUCUCAUUGUAUUUUGAAGUAUCGAAAAAAAUUCAACAAAAAAUUCGAAAAAAAUGAAACUUCAAAAAAAAAGUGUUGGAAAUUUCCCGAUCCUCAAAGUUUGAUUUAUUUAAUCCCAUCUCUUCUACCCCAAC